rnacentral:snoRNA from 1 species
ACGUGAUGAGAUUCGUAGCUGGCACCAGUCAUAGGGGUUUUUUGUACUCUCUCCCUUUGAUGACCAAGCUUUUUGAAUAUAUUCAUACUUCUGAA